UCGACUGUUUAUCAAAAACAUAUUUAAUAGAAAUUAUUAUUAAUAUAACCUGCUCAAUGAAUAUUUAAAUAGCCGCAGUUAAUACUGUGCUAAGGUAGCAUAAUCAUUUGUCUUUUAAUUAAAGACUAGAAUGAAAGGUUAAACAUUUAAAUUUUUUUGAAAAAUUUAAAUUUUUAAUUUAUUUUAAAUGUAAAAAAACAUUUAUUCUUAGAAAGACGAUAAGACCCUAUCGAACUUAACUUUAGUUCAACUGGGGCAGUUAAUUAAUAAAACUUUAAUUAAUAUAUAUAUAUCUAAUUACAUAAACGAUCCAAUAUAAUUGAUUAAUUGAUCAAGUUACCGUAGGGAUAACAGCGUAAUAUUUUUAUUUAGCUCUUAUAAUCAAAAAUGAUUGCGACCUCGAUGUUGAAUUAAUAUAUCUUACAGACGCAAGAGUUUGAUAAGAAGGUCUGUUCGACCUUUAAUCUAUUACAUGAUUUGAGUUCAAACCGGUGUAAACCAGGUCGGUUUCUAUCUU
rnacentral:rRNA from 1 species